AAAAAAAAAAAAGAAAGAUACAUUGAAGUAAUUUAAAAACACUUAGGAAGAUGUCAUUUCUUCCUAUCAAGGCGUCCUCCCUUUCUGUUUUGUUGUUAUAUUGGGAACGAUAAAAAAAUUUUUUUUUCAACCCAUGUGGACCAGGUUGGCCUCGAACUCGUGCCCUCGAACCCUCGCCUACCCUGAGGGUCCGAGGGCCCGCGCAACCGGCCGGAGCCACAAUGGCUCCGGGUGUCGGGGCUGU
rnacentral:lncRNA from 1 species